UACGGGGGGGGCAAGCGUUGUUCGGAAUUACUGGGCGUAAAGGGCUCGUAGGUGGCCAACUAAGUCAGACGUGAAAUCCCUCGGCUUAACCGGGGGAACUGCGUCUGAUACUGGAUGGCUUUGAGUUCGGGAGAGGGAUGCGGAAUUCCAGGUGUAGCGGUGAAAUGCGUAGAUAUCUGGAGGAACACCGGUGGCGAAGGCGGCUUCCUGGUCCAGCACCGACGUCAGGCACGAAAGCGUGGGGAACAAACAGG
rnacentral:rRNA from 1 species